rnacentral:lncRNA from 1 species
ACUGGGGGUUGGUCUUCCUACGGCCCUUCCUAUCAUGGUUGCUUUAUCGAUCGAGGGGAUCUCUACCAUCAUCUUUUUUGCCGCUCCCACCUUCGAAGGAUAAACCGAUCGAGACGGCCAUGCCUGAUGAAGUCCUCGAUCUCAUCCUGGAGUUGGAUACACUUCUCUAUGUCAUGGUCGCGAUCAUAGUGAUACAAGCAAUACUUAUUCUGGUCCCUUCGAUUUGGAAAUGUCCAAAAACACAGCUUUGGGAUCUGUUUUCUUAUUUCUAUUAGCACCUAAGUCCUAGGUGAGUUUAGUAGAGUGUAGUUUGUAUGUCUCCUCGACGGAGAAGCAUGCCGAUCCCUUCUCUAAGGGCUUCGGGGUCGACGGUUCUGAGGAGGGGCCCUAUUUUUUCUCUUCUGAAAUGGAGACCUAGAGCACUAAUGGUUUCUCUCCUCCCACCUCAGAGAGCACUCCUUAUUUUAUCCUCCUACCAUAGCAGAAUCGAUGGGGGUACCAUCUUCGAUGAAGACCUCCUCUAUGUGAGCAUACUUCUCUACUCGGGCCAACAUAUUGAGAUAAUCCCAAGGGUAGGUCUUUAUUAAUGACUUCUUGAGGUCGUUCUUCAGAAGUCCAUCCAUUAUCAUAGAUGUCGUGAUUGAUUGAUUCAGAUCACAGACCUCCAGGGUCGCCACAUUAAAGUGGCUAACAAAAGCUCAGAUCGACUCUCC